AGCCGCGGUAACACCGGCGGCCCGAGUGGUGAUCGUGAUUAUUGGGUCUAAAGGGUCCGUAGCCGGUUUGGUCAGUCCUCCGGGAAAUCUGAUAGCUCAACUAUUAGGCUUUCGGGGGAUACUGCCAGACUUGGAACCGGGAGAGGUAAGAGGUACUACAGGGGUAGGAGUGAAAUCUUGUAAUCCCUGUGGGACCACCUGUGGCGAAGGCGUCUUACCAGAACGGGUUCGACGGUGAGGGACGAAAGCUGGGGGCACGAACCGGAUUAGAUACCCGGGUAGUCCCAGCCGUAAACGAUGCUCGCUAGGUGUCAGGCAUGGCGCGACCGUGUCUGGUGCCGCAGGGAAGCCGUGAAGCGAGCCACCUGGGAAGUACGGCCGCAAGGCUGAAACUUAAAGGAAUUGGCGGGGGAGCACAACAACGGGUGGAGCCCUGCGGUUUAAUUGGACUCAACGCCGGACAACUCACCGGGGGCGACAGCAAUAUGUAGGCCAAGCUGAAGACUUUGCCUGAAUCGCUGAGAAGAGGUGCAUGG
rnacentral:rRNA from 1 species